UGGGGGAUAUUGGACAAUGGGGGCAACCCUGAUCCAGCGACGCCGCGUGAGGGAAGAAGGUUUUCGGAUUGUAAACCUCUGUUGACGGAGAAAAAAAUGAUGGUAUCCGUUUAGAAAGCCACGGCUAACUACGUGCCAGCAGCCGCGGUAAUACGUAGGUGGCAAGCGUUGUCCGGAAUUACUGGGUGUAAAGGGAGUGUAGGCGGGAUUUUAAGUCAGAAGUGAAAAUUACGGGCUCAACUCGUAACCUGCUUUUGAAACUGAAAUUCUUGAGUGAAGUAGAGGCAAGCGGAAUUCCUAGUGUAGCGGUGAAAUGCGUAGAUAUUAGGAGGAACACCAGUGGCGAAGGCGGCUUGCUGGGCUUUUACUGACGCUGAGGCUCGAAAGCGUGGGGAGCAAACAGG
rnacentral:rRNA from 3 species